UGCUCCAAUAGCGUAUAUUAAAGUUGUUGUGGUUAAAAAGCUCGUAGUUGGAUUUGUGGCGCGGUCGUCCGGCGGGGCUUCCGGUUUCAUAGUAUCCCGGGGCCGUUUGUCUGGGUUCUUGGCCGCCCCAUUCUUCGGUUGCGUGUCGCUGGCAUUAGGUUGUCGGCUUCUUCGCGCCGAUCGUUUACUGUGAAAAAAUUAGAGUGUUCAAAGCAGGCUUAGGCCGUUGGAUACAUUAGCAUGGAAUAAUUAGAUAGGGCCACGGCGGUCUAUUUUGUUGGUUUGCACGUUGUGGUAAUGAUUAACAGGAACGGUUGGGGGUAUUCGUAUUCAAUUGUCAGAGGUGAAAUUCUUGGAUUUAUGGAAGACGAACUACUGCGAAAGCAUUUACCAAGGACGU
rnacentral:rRNA from 1 species